UCUUGAGCAUUAUGUGCUGCGAAGUCGAUGUUCUUCUCUCUCAACUUCUUUAAUAGCUCCUGGCUGAGCCCUGGGAGUUGGACACGCACUCUCUGCACCCGAUUACCAAGCUCAGGUGAAAUAGCUUCUACGAUUGCAAUUGUUCCAUUCUCAAACAAAUCCACUCUCUGUACCCUGUCCUUGUCCAAAUACUCGAGAAACCGUGAGUAUGACAUUCUUGACGAAGACACACCUUGGUCGUCACCGUCGGCUAGCGCAUUUUUCGUACCGACAACCGCCGGCAAAGCGAGUCCCACAUUUCCAGCAAGCAGUUUUAAAAAACCCCUUCUUCCCGACAGCUGCUUCUGGUCCAAAGAGGCGGUAGGGGAGACAGAUCUAGACACUACACCGAGUAAAGAUAGACCUGAGGACGGAGUUAGGUGUGUACCAUAAAAUUCUUUGGUGAGACAGGGUUUACUACAGCGCACAGGCACACCCGUGGCGAGGCUUAUGGAAGUAGACACCAUUUGGGCUUGCUUGGAG
rnacentral:misc_RNA from 1 species